rnacentral:rRNA from 1 species
UGGGGAAUAUUGCACAAUGGGCGAAAGCCUGAUGCAGCAACGCCGCGUGAGUGAUGAAGGCCUUCGGGUUGUAAAGCUCUGUCUUUUGGGACGAUAAUGACGGUACCAAAGGAGGAAGCCACGGCUAACUACGUGCCAGCAGCCGCGGUAAUACGUAGGUGGCAAGCGUUGUCCGGAUUUACUGGGCGUAAAGGAUGCGUAGGCGGAUUUUUAAGUGAGAUGUGAAAACCCUAAGCUUAACUUGGGGACUGCAUUUCAUACUGGAAAUCUAGAGUGCGGGAGAGGAGAAUGGAAUUCCUAGUGUAGCGGUGAAAUGCGUAGAGAUUAGGAAGAACACCAGUGGCGAAGGCGAUUCUCUGGACCGUAACUGACGCUGAGGCAUGAAAGCGUGGGUAGCAAACAGGAUUAGAUACCCUGGUAGUCCACGCCGUAAACGAUGAGUACUAGGUGUAGGAGGUAUCGACCCCUUCUGUGCCGCAGUUAACACAAUAAGUACUCCGCCUGGAAGUACGAUCGCAAGAUUAAAACUCAAAGGAAUUGACGGGGUCAUAGCUGUUUCCU